AUAAUGGGUCAGCGACUUAUAUUCUGUAGCAAGGUUAACCGAAUAGGGGAGCCGAAGGGAAACCGAGUCUUAACUGGGCGUUAAGUUGCAGGGUAUAGACCCGAAACCCGGUGAUCUAGCCAUGGGCAGGUUGAAGGUUGGGUAACACUAACUGGAGGACCGAACCGACUAAUGUUGAAAAAUUAGCGGAUGACUUGUGGCUGGGGGUGAAAGGCCAAUCAAACCGGGAGAUAGCUGGUUCUCCCCGAAAGCUAUUUAGGUAGCGCCUCGUGAAUUCAUCUCCGGGGGUAGAGCACUGUUUCGGCAAGGGGGUCAUCCCGACUUACCAACCCGAUGCAAACUGCGAAUACCGGAGAAUGUUAUCACGGGAGACACACGGCGGGUGCUAACGUCCGUCGUGAAGAGGGAAACAACCCAGACCGCCAGCUAAGGUCCCAAAGUCAUGGUUAAGUGGGAAACGAUGUGGGAAGGCCCAGACAGCCAGGAUGUUGGCUUAGAAGCAGCCAUCAUUUAAAGAAAGCGUAAUAGCUCACUGGUCGAGUCGGCCUGCGCGGAAGAUGUAACGGGGCUAAACCAUGCACCGAAGCUGCGGCAGCGACGCUGAUGCGUUGUUGGGUAGGGGAGCGUUCUGUAAGCCUGCGAAGGUGUGCUGUGAGGCAUGCUGGAGGUAUCAGAAGUGCGAAUGCUGACAUA
rnacentral:rRNA from 1 species